rnacentral:rRNA from 1 species
UACGUAGGGUGCAAGCGUUGUCCGGAAUUAUUGGGCGUAAAGAGCUCGUAGGCGGUUUGUCGCGUCUGCUGUGAAAACUCGGGCGUAACUCCGGCCGUGCAGUGGGUACGGGCAGACUAGAGUGCGGUAGGGGAGACUGGAAUCCUGUGUAGCGGUGAAAUGCGCAGAUAUCAGGAGGAACACCCGUGGCGAAGGCGGCUCUCUGGGACGGUACUGACGCUGAGACGCGAAAGCGUGGGGAGCGAACAGG